rnacentral:rRNA from 1 species
CUACAGGGGUAUCUAAUCCUGUUUGCUCCCCUGGCCUUCGUGUCUCAGCGUCAGGAACUGUCCAGAGACCCGCCUUCGCCACUGGUCUUCCUUACGAUAUCUACGCAUUUCACCGCUACACCGUAAAUUCCAGUCUCCUCUCCAGUCCUCAAGCACCGCAGUAUCAAAUGCAGUUUCGGAGUUAAGCCCCGAGAUUUCACACCUGACUUACGGCGCCGCCUACACACCCUUUACGCCCAAUGAAUCCGAACAACGCUUGGGACCUCUGUAUUACCGCGGCUGCUGGCAC